rnacentral:rRNA from 1 species
UACGUAGGGUGCGAGCGUUAAUCGGAAUUACUGGGCGUAAAGCGUGCGCAGGCGGUUCGUUGUGUCUGAUGUGAAAUCCCCGGGCUCAACCCGGGAACUGCAUUGGAAACUGGCGGACUUGAGUGUGGCAGAGGGGGGUGGAAUUCCGCGUGUAGCAGUGAAAUGCGUAGAGAUGCGGAGGAACACCGAUGGCGAAGGCAGCCCCCUGGGCCAACACUGACGCUCAGGCACGAAAGCGUGGGGAGCAAACAGG